CUACGGGAGGCUGCAGGCGAGAAAACUUUGCAAUGUGCGAAAGCACGACAAGGUUAAUCCGAGUGGUUUCUGCUAAAGGAACCUUUUGACAGUCCUAGAAACACUGUUGAAUAAGGGGUGGGCAAGUUCUGGUGUCAGCCGCCGCGGUAAAACCAGCACCUCAAGUGGUCAGGAUGAUUAUUGGGCCUAAAGCAUCCGUAGGCGGCUCUGUAAGUUUUCGGUUAAAUCUGUACGCUCAACGUACAGGCUGCCGGGAAUACUGCAGAGCUAGGGAGUGGGAGAGGUAGACGGUACUCGGUAGGAAGGGGUAAAAUCCUUUGAUCUAUUGAUGACCACCUGUGGCGAAGGCGGUCUACCAGAACACGUCCGACGGUGAGGGAUGAAAGCUGGGGGAGCAAACCGGAUUAGAUACCCCAGUAGUC
rnacentral:rRNA from 1 species